rnacentral:rRNA from 1 species
UACGGGGGGGGCAAGCGUUGUUCGGAAUUACUGGGCGUAAAGGGCUCGUAGGCGGCCAACUAAGUCAGACGUGAAAUCCCUCGGCUUAACCGGGGAACUGCGUCUGAUACUGGAUGGCUUGAAUCCGGGAGAGGGAUGCGGAAUUCCAGGUGUAGCGGUGAAAUGCGUAGAGAUGUGGAGGAACACCAGUGGCGAAGGCGACUCUUUGGCCUAUAACUGACGCUGAGGCGCGAAAGCGUGGGGAGCAAACAGG